rnacentral:misc_RNA from 1 species
AACCAUAGAAACCUGCGGAGUACCUGCGGAGGGAUCAUUAAUGAAUAAAUUUGGAUUAGACUGUUGCUGGCCUAAGGGCAUGUGCACGCCUAUUCCGACUUUAUAACCACCUGUGCACUUUGUGUAGAUCUGAAUUAACUCUCGAGAUUCAAACUCGGCUUGAAGGAUUGCUGUGCAUUAUUGCCAGCUUUCCUUUAUUCUUUCAGAUUUAUGUUUUAUUAUACCCCGUAUUAAUGUAUU